rnacentral:rRNA from 1 species
GUUAUCCGGAUUCACUGGGGUUAAAGGGAGCGUAGGUGGCUUUGUAAGGCAGGGGUGAAAUCUUAGAGCUUAACUCUAAAACUGCCAUUGAUACUGCUUAGCUUGAAUCACGUCGAGGUGGAUGGAAUAUUACAUGUAGCGGUGAAAUGCUUAGAUAUGUAAUAGAACACCGAUUGCGAAGGCAGUUCACUAGGCGUGUAUUGACACUGAGGCUCGAAAGCGUGGGGAUCAAACAGG